rnacentral:siRNA from 1 species
UGAGGCCACCUUGUGCACCACC